UACGAAGGGGGCUAGCGUUGCUCGGAAUUACUGGGCGUAAAGCGCACGUAGGCGGAUUGUUAAGUCGGGGGUGAAAUCCUGGAGCUCAACUCCAGAACUGCCUUCGAUACUGGCGAUCUUGAGUCCGGGAGAGGUGAGUGGAACUGCGAGUGUAGAGGUGAAAUUCGUAGAUAUUCGCAAGAACACCAGUGGCGAAGGCGGCUCACUGGCCCGGUACUGACGCUGAGGUGCGAAA
rnacentral:rRNA from 1 species